rnacentral:rRNA from 1 species
GUCUGCGGCCAUACCAUCCUGAACGCGCCCGAUCUCCUCUGAUCUUGGAAGCUAAGCAGGGUCGGGCCCGCUUAGUACUUGGAUGGGAGCAAUGCUCUCUCCCAGCACAGGGACAAGGUGAGGUGAGUA